rnacentral:rRNA from 1 species
UACAGAGGUCUCAAGCGUUGUUCGGAUUCAUUGGGCGUAAAGGGUGCGUAGGUGGCGCCAUAAGUCGGGUGUGAAAUCUCGGGCGUUAACUCCGAAACUGCAUUCGAUACUGUGGUGCUUGAGGACUGGAGAGGAGACUGGAAUUCAUGGUGUAGCAGUGAAAUGCGUAGAGAUCAUGAGGAAGACCAGUGGCGAAGGCGGGUCUCUGGACAGUUCCUGACACUGAGGCACGAAGGCCAGGGGAGCAAACGGG